rnacentral:rRNA from 1 species
AGUGAACGCUGGCGGUAGGCCUAACACAUGCAAGUCGAACGGCAGCACAGUAAGAGCUUGCUCUUACGGGUGGCGAGUGGCGGACGGGUGAGGAAUACAUCGGAAUCUACUUUUUCGUGGGGGAUAACGUAGGGAAACUUACGCUAAUACCGCAUACGACCUACGGGUGAAAGCAGGGGAUCUUCGGACCUUGCGCGAUUGAAUGAGCCGAUGUCGGAUUAGCUAGUUGGCGGGGUAACGGCCCACCAAGGCAACGAUCCGUAGCUGGUCUGAGAGGAUGAUCGGCCACACUGGAACUGAGACACGGUCCAGACUCCUACGGGAGGCAGCAGUGGGGAAUAUUGGGCAAAGGGCGCAAGCCUGAUCCAGCCAUACCGCGUGGGUGAAGAAGGCCUUCGGGUUGUAAAGCCCUUUUGUUGGGAAAGAAAAGCAGCAGGUUAAUACCCCGCUGUUCUGACGGUACCCAAAGAAUAAGCACCGGCUAACUUCGUG